UUCUUUUGUUUCGUUCCACUCCCUCUCGGAAUAUCUUCUGGCAUAUUUAUAGUCAAGUUCACAAAUUUUUCACUCCAUUAUUUGCUAUUGGUAAAAUCAACUUUCUUGGUAAAAUAAGACCUCUUCCCUAUCGCCCUCUUGUAGCUCUCUCUCUCUCUCUCUCUGGUUUCCAUGCUUCUUCCUCUUCUCAUCUCUGCUUGCUUUCUCUAGUCUAUCUGAAAUUUCAGAACGGAGGAGGAGUCUCUCUCACGAACUCUGGGUCGCUCUCUCUGUCCUACCUGUGCAAGACUGAAACAUGGAUAUGAUGGAAGUUCUUUUCAGAAGCUAAUCAUCAAACAGAAUUGUGGGAAUUUGAAGAAUGGGUUCGAAUGUUAAGCUCAUGAUUGCGGAGAAGAACAAGUUUCACGGAAAGGCGUUGUCUCUAUCAUACACAAAGACCACCAUUACUGCAAUCAAGGAGAAGUUCAGUUCAGAGCAGUUGGAAAGGUUUAAGGGUAGUUGUUUUGGUCAUCUACUACUCAUUGAGGACCUAAAGUGGACUCCACAAAUUGUCCAUGGGAUGUUGCUAAGAAAGGUUGAUCCGAAGACAGUUAAAACCGUGAAAGGUAUUACAUUCUUGGUUGGUAAUAAGUUGAUACAAUUCACGAAGCAACAGUUUUGCCUCAUCACGGGGCUAAGGUAAAGGGUGUAGGAAGAAGCAGCCAAUAACUGUGUUGUUGAGUCCCUUUAUCGGUCCUAUGAGGAAAAAGAGGAAGCUCCCUGUUUCAGAGGGCACCGGAACCCCCACUGCUUUUAAUCCAACAAAGCCCGUUCCCAUUGAGGAUGUCAAGGCUGUAAUAGACUUCUGCACCACUUGGAAAAGCAAUAUGAGAUCAACAGUGUUCUAAAAAGAAGUGGUUUUGGGGAAUGCCUUGGAGUUCUGUAUUUGUUUUUACAUGUUGGCACCUUUGGAAAUGGCGGAAUAGGCGUGUGUUUAGUGGAGCUGAUGAUCUAGCCAUUAAUCCUCGUUAGACUUUUUUGUGCUUCAGUUAUGGAGUGGAUUAAGGCUUCAUCUGUGAGUCAGAAGGGGACUGAUGUGACUCAACUCCUUUUGGCUUGGGAUCUUCCAGCUGGUGGCCAAUUUAAAUUAAAUGUGGAAGGUUCUAGAAAGACAAUUUCAUGUUGUAUUGGCGCAGGGGAGUCAUCAGGGAUUCUAAAGGUGACUUGGUUUCUGGUUUUGCCGUCCAUUUAGGGAAAUGCCAAAUUCUAGAGCAGAAGUCUGGGGCCUUUUCUUUGGUUUGAAGUUGGCUCUUGAGAAAGGUCUCAGUGAUCUAGCCAUUGAAAUGGACUCUUCUCUAGUUGUGAAACUGUGUCUGAAACCUUCUAUCCUUGGUUUGCACCCGAUGGCCUCCUUGAUUGAUAGUUGCUGUGAUCUUAUGAAGCAACUUGGUAAAUGCACCCUCAAGCAUAUAUAUGGAGAGAAGAAUAGAGUUGCUAACGCAACUGCCAACCGGAGCUAUAAUUUAGUGCGGAGGUGCGGCUCGAAGAGAUGGCAGUUGGGCAAGAGUUUUUCUACAAACUCAUAAAUGAUAGCCUUUGGAUGACCUCAUCAGUAACAGUUUCAAUCUUGCUUUAAUUUUAAAAUUAAAUUAACUUGUCUUCUUUACUAUGUGUACAUGCAUAUUAAAAUAAGCUGUUAUUAUCUACCUCAACUGGCAGCACCUUGACAUGGGGAUGUUUCUGAUACGCAAAAGGCAAUUUGCUCAUCCGUUGGCGGUUGGAACUGACUGGACGACUGCUGAUUGUUGUCUGCAAUCAUUUUUAGAACCAGUAAAACUGCCUCCGAAAAAAUGAGGAUCGAAGAAACAAGAUGUUAGGGUUACCGAGGACGCUCCACUUCAAUACCAGGCCAAAAUAGAGCUGUAUGUGCGGGGACUUUGGAAACAUGGGUAUGCUAUACCAUGGACCAAAGUCCGCAAGGUGUAUGUCCCCUUCAAUUUUGGAGGGUGUCAUUGGGUCGCACUUGAAAUCGACUUUGUGAGGCGUACAGUCACUUUGUAUGACUCCUACGUUGAUUUUACUGCUUAGAAGAAGGUGGUACAAUUUCUUAAGCCUAUUAGCCAUGCACUUGCACGUAUUCUUUAUGAUAUGGGAUUUUAUGGGAGUUCGGAGCUUCAGGAGGUCAAGAAAAUGGCGACUCAGAAGCCGAACUUUGAGGCAUGGACAAUUUGCAGGCAUGGAGAUGUUCCGCAACAAGCUGAUGGUGCUUCAUGCGGAGUUUUUGCAAUCAAAUUCAUUGAGUAUGCCAGUGCCGGGCUUCCAUGUCAUACAAUUGACCCUUCGAAGGUUGCCUAUUACCAAUUGAAACUUGCAAUAGAGGCUUUGAGGGAGGAGGCUUAUCUAUGAGGUUUGAGGCUUAGUCUUAUUACAUAUUAUGACCCUCUUUUAUCCACCUUUCAAAAGUACAUCCUAUGUAUCAGUUAUGCGGCUUAGUGGUACAACAUGUGUUGUAUUAUAAUUGGCAUUUUGAUUUGUAUGGUGGAGGGCUAAUAUUGCAAAUGUUUUAUACCCUUUUGUAUUAUAUGACAAAUGUGCUACCUAGAAACAUUAGCUUA